rnacentral:tRNA from 1 species
GGCUCGAUAGCUUAGUUGGUAAAGCACUCUAGCAUAUAAGAGUCGUGGGUUCGAAUCCCACCUGAGUGC